rnacentral:rRNA from 1 species
UCGGAUCAGGUAGGAUUACCCGCUGAACUUAA